CUGGCCACAGUCCAAAAUAAGUGGAUUAAUCGGUGUCGUGUGGAGCUGUUUUAGUUACACGUGUACUUUCUGCACUAUUUCGCUAAGAAUAUUUCCCUGCACAUUCGCUGUCCUCUAAACACAUCAGGGGAAUAUUUGCCCUUCAGUUGCUGCAUUCAUUCUUUCUUCUUCCAUCGUGUAUCCCUCUCUUCUCUCUCUUUUCUUCUCUUCCUACCUCCCUUCCUUCCUUCCGUGCUGGGGGGUAAAUAUAUAAAUUCUUAUGCUACUACUUAUUUUUUAUCUCUUAACUGUGGCCAGAUACUUAAUGAUUUUAUAGAUAUGUCAUUUAAUUUCAUAGAGAAAUAUGUAUUGCAUGAUAUAAAAUUUUACAUAAGUAGCCGACUCAUUGGAAAAGACACUGAUGCUGGGAAAGAUUGAAGGCAGGAGAAGAGGGCGGAAGAGAAUGACAUGACUGGGAUGGCAUCACUGACUCAAUGAAUAUGAUUUUGAGCAAACUGCAGGAAAUAAUAAAGGACAGGGGAGCCUGGCAUGCUGCAGUCCACAGGGUUGCAAAGAGUCGGACGUGACUUAGUGACUGAACAACAAUAUAUCAUAAACACAAUAAGAUACAAGUAUAACAUAUUUUUAUAUAUAAUUUAAAUAUAAAAUUUAUGUUUGUAUAAAUCAUACAUGCAUUUAAUCUUCAAACCUACGUUUUACCCAUAUUUGUAGAUAAACUAAGGUACAGAGAUGUCUGCUGUCAAGGAACUUCGUAUAUAUGUUGGACUAUAUGUCCCCGGUCUCUCCAACCUGUGACUAAGAUCACAACUCCCCCUUUGUAUAUAGGCUUUCAUGACACAAACUUUCAACCUAUGUGACUGGCCCGAGUCCGAUAUUCCUCUGAUUUCUUUCUGCAAAUACCACCAGGAGAGUCCCAAAGCACCACAACACAUAUGCCGCAGAGUAAGAAUUUAGAUUCUCCCACUUCAGCCUUUUGGCCUCACAGCAUGUUGCUUCCUCAUCACUAGUGACCUUUGUGAAGGUCAACUGCUCCCACAGCCUAAGCAGGCCUUCAGACACUGUCUACCCCCUCACUGUGGCCUUGAAAAUAAACACUGCUGUUCCUUCUCUCAGCUCUUCUCUUAGAAACACAGUCAAGCUGCCAGGUCACUGGUCUAAGCAUGAACCCGGAAGCAUGAACCCAGAGUUGGUUAAACGACUCGAUCUCAGAUAUGCUUCACAGAGCAGGGACCUGUUCACCCUCGCCCCUUGGCACCUCUAUGACUUGGAAUCCAGGCCGCAGAGAAAGAUGGUGGAAAUUUCUGCCUACUGCUGCACAGCUAAAGCAGUGUUGCAGUGACCAUUGCUUAUUCUGCAUUUAUUUGUCCUGGUGAGCACAUCAGAUACAGCAGAGGAAACUUAGGAUGCCUGACCGGUAAGUUAAACACAACUUAAAAUAAUGAAACUUCUUUUGUAGCCAUAACUACUUAUCAAUUUUAAAUUAAAAUACACAUUUUAUUCUGCCUGGAAUUUUAAAAAAGUUAGGUAACCUAUUUAAUUUAAAAACUUGGAGAAUGAACUAGAAAAUGUUUUAUAGGGCAUUUUUUUGUAAACUGAUUUAAAACUUGCAUGACUUCCUUCAUUAUGAUUAUACUGACAGGAAACUUGUGUUGUCUAAAUUCUGGAAAAGAUACAUACAACUUGAAAGAAAUAUUAAUUUUCAUCCAGUCAAGUAAUUCCUCAGAAGGAGGAAUAGCUAGUCUGUUGGGUCUUGUGACUUCAGUGGUGCCUUUGUAAUCUAGACUGUCAAGGCCAGGAGAUUACUGUCAUUUUGCAUUUUGUGUAUUUUGAGGAGUUUUAUUCCAUUUUCAUUCUCAAUUCCUUUCCAUUUCAUAAGCCACAACUAAUUAUCUUAACCAUUUCCACUAGUAAGAACUGGUUGUGGUUGUGGUGUUACAGAUCUUGCCUGUUUUCUUUCCAAAUUUCUUAUCCACAUGCUUCACGGUAGUCUCGCCUCUUCUUUUUGCCCCCAUUCUCUCGUUUUUUGACUUCUGAGGACUCCUUGAUGACGAUGGAAAACAGAGUCUCUGCCUCACAUUGUGAAAUGUGCAUGACUUAGCUACUAUUCCAACAAACAUUUCUCAGACAGUGUGGGCCGGAAGUAAUUUUUUAACCAACCGAAUCUCCUUUAAGCUACCUGGAAGUUGGGGCAGCACAACAUACUUGUCUUGUGGCAAGUACAAAUUAAUGUAAAGCACUUGGGGGUCCUCAUUGCUGAGAGACUGCGGUGAAUCUUUGGUGCCUUGUUUGAGGACCUAUCAACAAAAUUUAUCUCCUGGAAGAGACUGCCAUAAUGUGGAAGGUGUUUGAUUCCUCGGUUCC
rnacentral:lncRNA from 1 species